CACGAAGCUGGAAUCGCUAGUAAUCGCGAAUCAGAAUGUCGCGGUGAAUACGUUCCCGGGUCUUGUACACACCGCCCGUCACACCAUGGGAGUCAGCAACGCCCGAAGUCAGUGACCCAACCGAAAGGAGGGAGCUGCCGAAGGCGGGGCAGGUAACUGGGGUGAAGUCGUAACAAGGUAUC
rnacentral:rRNA from 1 species